ACAGUUCAUUCUGCUGCUCGAAGGAGAGACUGUGAAUGUUGACCUGUUUCACAAACUUUUCCCCUGCCGGAAGCUCCGGUAACCAUUCGUCCGUGACUUACAUAUCGGCUGGGUACCAUCGGACGAGCACUUCCGUCCCUUCGCUCGGUAUGUGGCGACGGCUUAGCUGCAAUCCACGGAACGUUAUCGCUCCACCCGGUCCGCUUGCGAUGGUGGCAAGCCGUAUCAAGCGAUGCUGCAACCCUUCCAUCACGCCGGAAUCGAAGAAAUCAAAACGGCGCGCUGCACGGAUGUACGGAAAACGGGAAACAUAACGAGCGAUUAGUGCUAAAGAAUGAGAUAAUUGUCAUUGUCAUUUAAACUGCGCUUUGCUUGCGAUUUUGGUCAUGGCUGCACCGCCAAC